CAUCCACCUGUCCCCGCUGGACAGCGUCGGCGGCCGCCUGUCUUUCCCUCACCCGGCAGCGCCUUCCCUCCCCCCUCCACCCUCGACCUCGCUCUCAUAAGCAAGUCGUCCACCGCACGGCCACCGGGACGGGAAAGCAACAGCACGUCUCGCAGCACCAACCAGGUCUGCGACGGCUCCCGUUGUGCGAGCGCUUUCUCUGCCGCUGGCGUCGAGCCUCCUCUCACCGGCGUCGACCUUCGUCCCUGGCCCUCUCGUUUGUUUCUCUUGCCAGCGAAGAGCGCAAAGGGGGCCCGGCGUGUCCAUACACGUCCCAACGUCUGCAGAGGGGCACCAUGCAGCCGCUACAGCGUCACUCCGCAGCGUCGCCAUGUCUGGCCUCCUCUGCAAGAGUGCCUCUCGCGCCGCGAUAUCACGCUCAACCGCCGCGGCAGCAACCGUCUGCUCAAAGCAACCUGGGGCUCGUCCAGUCCGCCUACGCGGUGCUGCACGACGUGCAUGCCCGCGCCACGCAGCUCGUCGAUGAGGCAGAGGCGUAUCUGACCGGUGCGUAUGGCGCGACCCUGACGGCGACGCCCAGGGCAAGGGCGCAGCCCUCCAAAGACACAGCGUCGAAGCACGACAACGCGGCCUCCGCAGCAGCGGAGUCGCUGCUGCAGCGGUGCCUAGAGAUGCAGGCGCUCCUGCAGCCCGAGGGUGGCAACGCCGCCGUCUCACCAAGUCCUGCAACGCAUCUGGUAAGCGCGCUCUCCUUGCUCGCGGAAUGUCUUCCAUCGGACUGGAAGGCUCUCUUGGUGGUGCAGCCGGAGGAAGCACGCGCCGGCGGGGUCGGUGUCGGCGCGGCAAGCGCACAGGAGGCGUCGGCGACGGCUCCAACGCAGGAAGAGGAUGCAUCUGGUGCAGACAGCAGCGGCGUCAGUGGCGAAGGCACCUCAGCCUCCUCGACGAAGCGCGGUGCCUCCAAGCCUGCUGUGGCCAGUUUCACGGUGUGCCCGUCCGACCUUGUGCGGCUGGGAUUGUUGCUGCGCCGCCAAUGGACGCUUCAGCGUGACCUCGGCCUCCUCGUGGUGGCGCUUCGCGAUAUCUGUGCUGUGUUCGCAGCCGGGAAGGCAGCUGCAAACAGUGUAGAUAACUUGAGGGCAUCUGCAGCCGAGGAUGUGCCGCCGCCACUGAUGACGGUGGCGGUGACUCUGGCCAUGCUGCAGCUGCCGCGUACGCCUGCAAUGCUCGAGGUGCACGGGGAGCGCAUGCGGGCGGAACGGCUUCCCGUCGGGGGCGGUGCAGACGCAACCCCAACUUAUCCGUACCCCUGUGUCGUCACGGUGCUCCCGGUAUGGCUCUCGCAUGCCUCGUACGCCGCUAAGUGGCGGUGUGGCGAAGGUGCGAACGUGCCAUCAGCGUCUCGCACGACGGCGGCGCCUGUAAAAGCGGUGGUUUCUGCGUUGGCGUCUGCGCUUCAGAAAACAAAACAGCUGUUCAAGUGGGAGGCACACCUGGCCCGAUACGUGAGCAUCGUCCUUGAAGCACCGCCUGCGGGCUCGUUGCAGCCGCAGCCGCAGCAGGGCAACGCUCCCAGCGGCGUAGGCAGCCUUUCGGCAGCGGGCGCGGCGCCACCACCGCAUGCGUCUGACAAGGACUUCCUCUGCGAUGUACAAGCGGAUAUGAGCCUCGAGCGUGGUGCCUGCAAUGAAGUACAGCUCUUGUGGCUCACCGCAGCGGCAGCUGUCGUCGCGGCAGCGGCAGAAGCAGAUGCCUUUUGUGGUGGCGCGCUUGACAUGGGCAGCGGCGCUCUCGCCUCCCCCGGAGUCAGGAAGCGAUGCGACAAGGUGGAACGGACGCUGCGCGCGAUCUGUUCCACUUCGGCCGUGGCGCGUGCGUUGCUGCCUGGAGUGCUACUCCUGCUGGGCUGCAGUGCCGCUCGCCGUCGUAGUGGCCCGGAGAAGCCCACAUCGGACGCGCAGUCGAGGGGGCUGCAUUGCUGGAUGGAGGCCUACUCGCUUGGGCAGCAGGUUUUGGGUAGUGCGCACCCCGUGGUGGCGGCAGCUGCCGCGUUGCUUCCCAACUCGGCUGUGGCUGCCAGUGGGGAGCGGCAAGCCCCACCGUCUGCGCCGGCAUCGCGCACGGCGGCGCACCUCCGAGCGUUUACGGCAGCGCCGUCGAACGCUCGCAACAGCGUCAUGGCGCGCAUCAGCGGCGAAGACGCCCCACUGCCGUUACAUCCGCUGUCGCCGCAGCAGCAGCAGCAGCGCAUGCCCACCGGCACACUCACCCGCCUACCGCCUCUUCCACCGUUAACACUCUCCGGCCCUGAGCCGUCGCGACUUGCACCCGCGCCUUCGUCGCCGGCCCUGUCGUGGUCGCUGAAGUCCGUGCCGACCUCCACGGCAACGGCGCGGUCCUCCAAGAGCGGGCCACCCCUUCCUCUUGGACGUACUCUCACGCUGCCCUUCACCAUCUCCUCCACUGCGGCAGCCGCUGACGGUGUCGCCAGACCGUUUCGUCGCCCAUCGCCGCAGUCGUCGCUGUCGGCGUCGAGGCUGCCCUGCAGUCGGUCACUGCGGCACUGCUACCGGCUGCAGCGGCCAGCGGAUGCGUUUACUCUGCGCAGCGACGUGAAGGAUGCCGUAUGGCUUGCUGACGACAAGGAAAGCGCGAAGAAGAAGAACGCCGCUCGGCGCCGCAGGGAACGGAAAGACCAACUGCAGUCCCCGACGGCGGCUUUGCUACUCUCCGCGAUAUCCCCAAGGAGUGCUGGGGCUGCCGGGACCCUCGCAUCGGGGGUCGACGCCGACGGCAGUACGCGCCGGCAGACGAAGCGUGAUCGCAACUUCUUACCCGCUCCAGGGGCACCAACAAGCCCCCCCGACGCCGCCGUCUCGCCGACUUUGCCGCAACCGAAAGUGGAGCUAGAAUCGCAGCAGCAGCAGCAGCAGCAGCAGCAGGACCAGGCAGGCGUUCAAGAGCCUCAGCAAGGCGAGCUCAGCGAGGGUGCGCCGCUCAACCUCGGUGCCACCGUGAAAGGUGUCCAAACAGUCGAAACCGAGGCUGAGCAACAACACAACAGUGGCGAUGGUGGUGGUAGCGCUGCCGACGCGGAAGCCGGGGGGGCACCAGCGCCACCAACGGCCAACUCCACCUUCACCGCCUAUCAGCAUCGCGGCUUCAUCUGCACUAGCAGACUCAGCGGCAGCAGCCAAAUGCAACUCAGGGGAGACGGAGGUGCACUACACACACAUGUAGUCGAUACUGCCGGCGCAGUCGAAGAAAACGCCAAAGAAGAGGAGGAAGAGGAAGAGGAAGAGGAGACGCUGCCAGAGCGCAACGCGCGGUUCCAGCGUGAGAUCAUCAAGUACUACGCCGAGCUCAACGAGCGGCGGGCGAGGGCGGCGAUGACCCUUCAACGGGCAUGGCGCUCGAGCAAGGCGCGUCAGAUCCUGUACGCUUAUCGCCAGGCCCUGUACCAGUACGUCUACGCAAUCCAGAAGGCGGCCGCGCUGGCGAUUGAAGGCCUUCUCUCGUGCGCGGUGGAGCAGCGCCGGCGUCAAGAAGCUCUGCAUGCGCGCGCCGUCGCUGACGCUCGUCGACGAGAUCAGGAGCAGCGGGAGGUCUCUGCCGCCCAGAAGCUCACUCGCGCCGCGCGGCAGUGGCUGCAGCGGCAGCGCGAGCGGCGCCGCCUGCGCAAGGAGCUCGGCAUCGCCCACGACGCGCGGCUGCGACUGUGCGCAAUCAACGCCGUCAAGGUGCAGCAGUGGUGGCGCCGUGUGGUUGUCGAGAAGGCGUACUGGCGCCGCCGCACAGCAGAGGUGAAGGAGCAGCGCCGCCUCCAGGCGGAGGCAGGACGACAGGCGCACGCGGCAGCCACAAUUCAAAAGCGGGUGCGCGGCAUCCAAGCGCGUCGUUGCGUGGCGCAGCUGCGCGAAGCCCGCAAAGCCGAGGAGCUCGCGCUUCGCCGCCGCCGCGAUGCCGCCACGACUGUGCUGAUGAUUGUGCUGCAGGAGUACGUCCUGCGUCAGGGCCGCCUUCACCGUGAGGCGUUGGCGCUGGAGGAGAGCAGGGCAGAGGCGGCGCAGCGCAUCGCGGUGGGUUGGCGUCGCUGUGUUGAGCGUCGUCGCCUAGAACUCGCGGUGGAGCGCGCUCGACAGCUGCGCACGUCGUCGACGCGCAUUCAGCGGGCCUGGAGGCGCUACGCCGCAGGGCGCCAACGCCGCUAUCUCCGCCAGCUGCGCCACACACUGCAGGAGGAGCGGCUGUCGCGCGAGGCGCAUACUUACGAGGUCAUUCGCCUUCUCCAGUGCUUCGGUCGCAGCGCGCAGGCGCAGCUGCUCGUGCGCCGCCUCAAGGCGCGUCAAGGGCGCACCUUCAUGGAAAACCUCUUUCUUGUUCAAGCAGCCGGUCGCGGUGCCUUGACCAGAGCAGAGAUGGGUCGGAUGCAUGUGGCGGAGCAGGCAAGGCAGCGCGCCGAAGCCGCGGCCCUUGAAACGCGGCGCUGGCGCGCCAUCUGUCUCUUGCAGGCCCUCUUACGAGCGCACGCCUCCGCAGCCCUGGUGCAGCAGCGGCGGCGAACAAUGCUAGCAGAGAAGCUUGUGGUGCGCACCACCGCAGCACGCGAGAUGCGAGCAGACGCUGCUGCCAGAGUGUUGCAGCGCGCCGUACGUCGGUACCGAAUGCAGCAGCGCACCGCGGCUGCCGAGGCGGAGGCGGCAGCCGCGCUGGCUUUUCUGAGUGCGAUGGCUCACCGCCUCCAGCAGGCGUGGCGCGCGUUCGCGGCGCGGUGCGAGCGGCGCUAUCGUGCUGCCGCCGUGGCUCAGUGUGCGCGCAAGCGGCUCGAGCGGGAGGAAGUGUGGCAGCUGGUUUGGCACGAUCAGUUCACCGAGCUCGAUAUGCUGUGUGUGCUUGAGCGGCAGUACAUCGAGGAGCAGCAGCACGUGGAGCGCGUCCGGCUCUACAACUACCUGUGUGACCCGAACAGUGCCACCAACGACGGCUGUUGCGCUCAGGCACCUGGUGCCUUCAACGCAGACGCGGACUUGUUGAAGUGGGCCACCCUGUACGACGAGUGAAGUGAAGGCAGUCUCAGAGCACCUUUCUCUGCGCGCACGACUUGGAGCGUGUGCGUGGGUGCCGCUGCGUGCCUCCUCUCCUGAUCUGCUCACUGCCCUCCCCACCUCCCCUCGCCACACUCGCCCUCCCUUGACACACGCACGUCCCCACGCGUGCGCAGCGGAGCGCCUCUUCUCUCGUGUUGUCAGUGUUUUAUUAUUCUUUUCUACGCGCAUGUACAGCCAAAG
rnacentral:misc_RNA from 1 species